GAAGACGGCCAUAGCAAGUAGGAAACACCCGAUCCCAUCCGAACUCGGAAGUUAAGCUGUUUGCGUUUUAGCGUGUACUUUCUGACACGAAGGGAAAACUAAAAGCUGUCUUCA
rnacentral:rRNA from 2 species